CUCUUUUGUCAAACUCAAACGAGUUCUAAUAGCCGAAAUGGUCAUCGAGUAAUCAUGGGAUUUGUCAGUUUUUGUCGAGCAUAUCCUCGUCAUUCUUUGUCAUUUGGGAAGCCAAAGAACUCGUGGGGAAGUCUCGACAAACAAGACGACGUUAAAUACCAACAAUGAACAAAACGCCCUCGGCCCAAAAACUAUCAAAACAAGAACAAAACACGAAACUUUAAAAUAAGACAA
rnacentral:lncRNA from 1 species